CCCUUAGAUGUUCUGGGCUGCACGCGCGCUGCACUGAUGCAUCCAACAAGUUUUUUCCUUGUUCGAGAGGACUAGGUAAUCUUUUGAGAAUGCAUCGUGAUGGGGAUAGAUUAUUGCAAUUAUUAAUCUUCAACGAGGAAUUCCUAGUAAGCGCGAGUCAUCAGCUCGUGCUGAUUACGUCCCUGCCCUUUGUACACACCGCCCGUCGCUGCAACUGAUUGGGUGACCUGGUGAACAUCUUGGACCGGUCCACUCAAUUUCGAGAGGACUGGAAAAGGCCGUAAAUCAGGUACAUCUAGAAAUUGCAAAAGUCGUAACA
rnacentral:rRNA from 1 species